UUCCUCGCCUUGUUUUUCAAAAACAUGUCCUUUUGAUUAAUAUUUUAAGGUCUGGCCUGCUCACUGACAAGGUUUUAAAGAGCCGCGGUAUUUUGACCGUGCAAAGGUAGCAUAAUCAUUAGUCUCUUAAUUAGAGGCUGGAAUGAAUGGCUUGACGAGAAAUCAUCUGUCUUUUAAUAAUUUAUAUAAUUUAACUUUUGAGUUAAAAGGCUUAAAUUUUUUUUUAGGACGAGAAGACCCUAUAGAGCUUAACAUUUUAUUUAUAUAUAGUUUUUUGUUGGUUUUUCUAUAAAUAUUGUUGAUGUUUUGUUGGGGUGACAUGAAGAAUAAAUAAACUCUUCAUUAUUAAAUCAUUAGUUUAUGUUAUUAUGAUCCAUAAUUUAUGAUCAUAAGAUUAAGUUACCUUAGGGAUAACAGCGUAAUUGUUUUUGAGAGCUCACAUUCGCGCUAGUCAAGUCUAAAACACCUACGCACCAUUGAACGAGAUACAUUUAGGCGUAUUAAGUCUUCAAAAUUCCAAUACACAAGCCUAUU
rnacentral:rRNA from 1 species